UACUAAAAAAUAUUGCCCCACAAAUAAUAACCUGGUAUGUGGCAUCCAUUUACAACAUACCAGGUUAUUAUUUGUGAGGCAUUUUUUUUUAGUA